AGCGAACGUUAGCGGCGGGCCUAACACAUGCAAGUCGAGCGAGAAAGGGGGUUCGCCCCCGAGUACAGCGGCGGACGGGUGAGUAACACGUAGGUAAUUUUCCCUUGAGCGGGGGACAACGUUCCGAAAGGGACGCUAAUACCGCAUAAGUUCUUGGGUGCUUCGGCACUGGAGAGGAAAGCUAGGCCGCAAGGUCUGGCACUCGAGGAGAAGCCUGCGUCGCAUCAGCUAGUUGGUGGGGUAAUGGCCUACCAAGGCAAAGACGCGUAGCUGGUCUGAGAGGAUGAUCAGCCACACUGGGACUGAGACACGGCCCAGACUCCUACGGGAGGCAGCAGUGGGGAAUAUUGGGCAAAUGGGCGAAAAGCCUGAUCCAGCAAUGCCGCGUGAGUGAUGAAGGCC
rnacentral:rRNA from 1 species